CCCUUAGAUGUUCUGGGCCGCACGCGCGCUACACUGAUUCAAUCAACAAGUUUAUAACCUUGGUCGAAAGGCUUGGGUAAUCUUUUAAAACUGAAUCGUGAUGGGGAUAGAUUAUUGCAAUUAUUAAUCUUAAACGAGGAAUUCCUAGUAAACGCGAGUCAUCAGCUCGCAUUGAUUACGUCCCUGCCCUUUGUACACACCGCCCGUCGCACCUACCGAUUGAAUGGUCCGGUGAAAUUUUCGGACUUUGGCAAUUCCCCCUUCAUUGGGAGAGCUGCCGAGGGAAGUUAAUUAAACCUUACCAUUUAGAGGAAGGUGAAGUCGUAACA
rnacentral:rRNA from 1 species